UGAGAACAAACAGGUACAUAAGAGACGCAUGCCAAGGAUGGAAGGUAACCUUAAGAGGGCAAGGCUAGAACGACAGGGAAAACCCUCCUGGAGAAGGUGGCAUUUGAGUAAAGAAACAGAGAUUCUGAGGGCCAGAGGCAGGAAGAAGCAGCCUUUUGUCCUGAAUGUGCAGAAACGGAAAGGAUGGAACAUCUUACUCCCCAAAGGUUCACACAGCUGGCCAGCCCACUUGUCAGGAUCGCUUAGCAGCUGAAAAGGGAGCUUGGCUCGGGAGGCAGAUCUGGUGACCCAGCUGAUCACUGGACCAAGGGGUCCGACGUGCCAAAUCAAUGGAGUUGCUUCAAGAGUUCGCCAAGCUUUCAGAUAGCUCAAGUGGAUGACAAGGCAGCCCACUUUGGAAGGCAGUGUGGUGUGGCUGCUCCGAUGCUGGACUUGGCAUCAGGAGGUCAAGUGUUUAAAUCUUACCCCUGACACUGUGUGACUUUUGGCAAAUCAUUUAGUCUCUCUAAGCCUCAAUCUUCUCAUCUGCCAACUGAGACACUUCGUCUCUGGAGUCUUGGGAGGCUCCAAUGAGAUAAUGUAUGCAAAGUGCUUUGGAAAUCUUAAAGCAGAUGGUACUUUGCAAACCAUAAAGGCCACGAAGCUGGAUCCUCUAGAGAGCCAAUUGUUAAAUUUUUACUGUGAGCACUUACACUUCAGCAAUAGUCAAGUGCUACAAAUCAGGGCUUGAUUUAUUGUUUUGCUGAUUGUCUAGGCUUAGGAAAGUUAUGGAGAAAGUAUUAAUAAUAUAGUUUAAAUUUUGGAGGCAGCUGGGUGGCUCAGUAGAUUGAGAGCUAGGUCUGGAGAGGAAAGGUCCUAGAUUCAAAUCUGGCCUCAGAUACUUCCUAAUUAAAUGUAUGACUCUGGGCAAGUCACUAGGCAAUGGUGUAUUACCUAGUCCUUAUCUCUCUUCUACCUUGGAACUUUGUAUUGAUUCUAAAACAGAGGUUUGAAAAAAUGAGAGUUUGACUAGAUGGUCUCUGAGGUCUCUUUCAGCUCUCAAU
rnacentral:lncRNA from 1 species